ACUAUGACCCUACUGCCAAACGGACAUAAUACACGUUUUGUACAUAUGAAUGUGGACACGUGUCCCUGACCACCAUUGAACCUUUGAAACCCUCUUUAAUGCAUUUGAACACCUGCCAAGAUAACGUUGAGGAGGAACGUGUGAGGAGAGAAUUCGAGAGAGUGAAGUAUGUUUUUUCCACGUCCUGCGUACGUUUUGUUUUGCGCUACAAAAAUCUGGUGGCCUUCGUUCUCCGAGGAGUCGCCGCCCUCACACCAUCUGUCCGCCAGGCAACAGGAGAGGGAAGUGGGACGCAACGGACACCGAGAAAUUCAAAGACGAGCAGUGUUGGAGGAGUGUCGGCAAAAGCCGCCAAGUGCGACAUGAGAGAUUCUCAGUUCCAAGUUAUAAAUAGGGCUCAUUAUUUAGGGGUUUUUUUGUGGGGGAAUUUCUAUAUUUAUUUUCAAGAUUAAAAAUGUGAAAAUAAUAUGAAAUGAAAACAUAAUUAAAAGCCAUCUAGAGUU